GCUAGUUCGUCUGAUUUGUUUCUAAAUAGAGGGAUGUUUUUUAAACUUGGUGUGGUAUUGCUGAAUCACUGGUUGCCUCCAGUAUGAAAGGUAUUUAUCCAGAUAAGUAUCUUUAUAUUGAUCAAUAUGUGAUUAAAUUAGUUAAAAUAAAUUUUGGAAAGAAGGAUAAGUUACGAAGAAACGAGUGCCUUUGUUGUUUAUUUUUUUUCAAAGACAGUCUCAAAUGAAAGGAAGCAUCAUAUUAGUAUGUUUCUAGGUUCAAAGAUGACAUCAAUCCAGGAAUUUCAAGUUGAUUGCUUCCACUUUUCAGUCUCCAAAAAGUCAGGAUUCGAUGGGCUUCGCAUUUCCUACUUGUGGAAAAUUACUGUUUCCGACGUAGAAGGGCCCAUUUAUAGUGUCCCUCAAGCAGACGGUAAUAGGAACCUUGAAUAUUAUUGGGUGACGGUUUUGACACUUCCAAAGCCAAAAGUUUAACCGUUUUCAUUACUAUCGAACUCGAAGGUAGUGGACUCGCUCCAAACCUUCCUAAAUCUAGGGUGAUAUCAACGAAGCCUGGGUCACUAUCAAGGCUAUUACUCUGCAGGUUGGUAAGAAAGAUACUUAAGUAGCGUCAAUAUAUUUUUUAAUAAAUUCUGUUUUGGACUU